UACAGAGGGUGCAAGCGUUGUUCGGAAUUAUUGGGCGUAAAGCGCGUGUAGGCGGCUUGUUAUGUCGGGUGUGAAAGCCCUCAGCUCAACUGAGGAAGUGCGCCCGAAACUGGCGAGCUUGAGUGCCGGAGAGGAUCGUGGAACACCCGGUGUAGAGGUGAAAUUCGUAGAUAUCGGGUAGAACACCAGUGGCGAAGGCGGCUCACUGGCCCGGUACUGACGCUGAGGUGCGAAAGCGUGGGGAGCAAACAGG
rnacentral:rRNA from 1 species